AUAUGUAAUACUAUGUUCUUGAGAAUACUUCAUGCGUGUCUGUCCUCAAUCAGCAGAGGCAUGCUUUAAAGAAUUGGCCCAUGACCAUGGAAAGAAGACUGCUGGGAUGGCACUAGUUGGAAUCACUCCAGAGCACUAUCAGUCUACAGAACAGUGCUCUUAACAGUGACUGAGGCAGUGAACAGAACUGAAAUAUUAUGUGUAUGUUUUUUCCUACAGUGAGCUUUCUUCUUCAAACAUUCAGCAGACCAAAUAAACACCAAGAGGAACUCUGGAACUCAUCCUUGUCACAGCCAUGUAACAAAACUGCCCAACAUAUCUCAAUGUCCAGCAAAAUUAGUGUACCCCACAGCAGAAUCAUCAGAAUUUGUUGAUCAUACAUGCGCUGACCCAGUGUGAUGAUGUACCUCAUCCAGUACACUCUAAUUCCUUGCUGCUUCACAACAGUUGAUUUUACCUGUUUUAAUACUGUUUCCGCACCACAGAUGUUUAAAUCUCAUCCAUGCAUCAUGCAUUGUGAGGGAAUUUGUUGCUGUAGACCUGAUUGCAAUGUUACAGUAGUGCAACUCAACUGACUUCUGCCUUGCAGCUACCCCCCAGUGCCAGCUGAAACACACUGAAACAGUUUCUCCAAAUUGAAACAAUCAACAGCUCUGGCGUGUUGGAUAGUAGGAGGAAUGAACUCUGAAAUAACUGGUGUUGCCACAGGUACAAGUUAUGACUGGUCUGGGCAGGCAUUUGGUCGUGUGAACUGCACUCAGCUGUAUUUUUAUUGGCCUAAAAACAGUCUUCUAAUGCUGGCAGUCUAGAGGUUUGCUCCUUUAAGUGCCUGCUGUGAAGAAACUUAUCCAAA